AUCCAGCUAACGAGUCUCAAAUAGAACGAAACGAGCGUUUUGGAU
rfam:Schistosoma margrebowiei strain Zambia genome assembly, scaffold: SMRZ_scaffold0000627